ACCAGUUAGUUUCGAAUCUAAGACAAUUCCCAAAAACUUAACAUUAUCUUUAACUGGAAUCUGAUAACCCUCAUAAAAUAUAGAAAUAGGAGGAGGAGUUCUUGAUCUCGUGAAUAAAACUAUUGUACUUUUUUCAGGUGAUAGAUCAAGGCCAUUUAAGUCCAACCAAGUUUUUAAAUUUAUCAGCGGUUGUGUUAUAGAAGAACUAGCUUUUUCAAUAGAAAUAUCACGACAGUAAAUUAAUAGAUCAUCAGCAUAAUGAAGAACAUUUACACUAUUAAGUGAUGAUUUUAAAUCGUGUGUAUAAAUAUUAUACAAUAUUGGGCUAAGUACUGAUCCCUGGGGGAGGCCCUUUGAAACAAGUCGAGUAAUUGACUUCCUGUCAUCUAGUUUCAGGAUUAUGUAUCUUUCGGAAAGCAUGUUUAUGAUAAAAUUUGUUAAUAGCAGAGGUAUAUUAAGUUGUAAAAGCUUACUCUUUAAAAUACUUAUUACGACAUUAUCAUAGGCACAAUUUAUAUCUAAGAACGCAGCUAUUACUGAUUUAUUAUUUGAAAAUGAUAAUUGAAUAUCAGAAAUGAAUAUACUUAAGCUAUCAAUAGUACUUUUCCCACGUCUGAAACCGAAUUGGGAUUCACAUAAUAGACCGUUAUGCUCAACAAACCAUUCUAAACGAUUUUUUAUAAAAUGUUCUGUAAUUUUCAUCAAAACAGAAGAAAGUGCGAUUGGGCGAUAGGCAGAAUGGUCUGCAGAACACCUAUUAGGUUUCAGUACGGGAAUUAUUUCUUGACGUUUCCACGUGGAGGGGAUGUUACCAGAUGUCACUAUGGAAUUUAUAAGAGAUAAAUAAUAAAAUAAAGCAUCAUCAUCUAAAUGAGAGAUAAAGGAAUACGGAAUACCGUCCAGUCCAGGAGCAGAAUCCUUAACAUGAGACAAUACUUUUAAUUUAGUUCAGUGAGAGAAAAUAUACUGUUUAAACCAAAACAGUUAUCAUUAUUUAUAUUUAUUACAGGGUAACCAAUUAUUAAGUCUUCAGGAACGAAAGGUGGAGCCAAUUUAUCUAAAAAGCUAUUAACUAAAUGAAAAGGGAUUGAUUUUGGAGAUGAAUCUUUGUAUGCAGAUCUAAACCUUCUUAUAUUUUGCCAUACAAGAGAUGGUUUGACAUCAGGUGAUAUUGAAUAGCAGAAAUUUUUCCAGCCAUCAAAUUUCUUUUUCUUUAGAAAUUUUGAAGUUUCUGACAUACUCUUUGUAAGAAUUUCAAAAUUCUCAUCAGUGGAGCAUUGACAGUAUGUAAUUUCAGCAUAUUUUCUUCUCUUUACUGCCUCAGUACAUUCGUUAUCCCACCAAGGAGGAGAAGGAAUAAAACCCAAAGAGCUAUUUUUACUUGGAAAUAUCUCAUUGGCAACCUCAAUAAAGAUUCUUGCUAAAGAAUCUGCACACUGAGAUUCUGUACCUGGAUUAAUUUUUGGAAGUGUUGGAAAUGAUAAUAAUAGUGGGAAGUGAUCACUACCAAAAGUAGAUCGUAAUGGAUCCCAGGACAAAUAAGAAGCAAGAUUAGGUGUAGUGACUGUUAAAUCUGGAGCACUUGGGCCCUCGUCAGGAUGAGAACGUCGUGUAGGACGACCAUCAUUUAAUAUACACAAAUUCACUGAAUCAGAUAUAUCUAUUAAUGUGUUACCAUAACUAUUAGAAGAUAAGUAACCCCAGGAUUCAUGGCGACAGUUAAAAUCACCAAGGAUCAUAAAAGGCUUCGGAAGAAUGGAAAUAAUAUCUUUGAUUUCAUUUAAGAUUGCAGAAGAAGGAUGAGGUAUAUAAAUAGAUACAUAACAGAUAUUUUCAACUAAAGCAGCAAUAAUAGAAAAAUCAUUACUGUGAGAAGGAAUAGAGAAGAGAGAAAAGGAAAGUGGGUGUUUCACAAGCAUGGCUACUCCGCCAUGCCCAUCCACACGAUCUUCUCUGAGACAUGAAUAACCUCGAAUCUUAAAUAAAGAUCCUGGUUUCAACCAUGUCUCUUGAAGAGCACAGAUAUAAGGUUUAUAUUUAUUUAAUAAAUAAAUAAGAUCACUUUUUUUAGGAGUGAUGCUUUGACAAUUCCAUUGAAGAACUUUGUCCAUUAUUUGGUUUAUAAAUUUGAGUAAUUGCAGAAACUAAUAAGGCAGCGUUGGAUGGUGAAAAUUCAUUCGAUUGACUAAGAGAUUUUAUAAGAGAAAUAAUUAAAUCAAUUACUGAGGAUUCCAAA